CUACGGGCGGCUGCGGUGAGGAAUGUUGCACAAUGGGGGGAACCCUGAUGCAGCAACGCCGCGUGGAGGAUGACGCAUUCCGGUGUGUAAACUCCUUUUAUAUGUCAAGAAAAUGACGGUAGCAUAUGAAUAAGCACCGGCUAACUCCGUGCCAGCAGCCGCGGUAAUACGGAGGGUGCAAGCGUUACUCGGAAUCACUGGGCGUAAAGGACGCGUAGGCGGGUUGGAAAGUCAGGUGUGAAAUCCUACAGCUUAACUGUAGAACUGCACUUGAAACUUCUAAUCUAGAGUAUGGGAGGGGGAGAUGGAAUUAGUGGUGUAGGGGUAAAAUCCGUAGAUAUCACUAGGAAUACCUAAAGCGAAGGCGAUCUCCUGGAACAUUACUGACGCUAAGGCGUGAAAGCGUGGGGAGCAAACAGGAUUAGAUACCCCAGUAGUC
rnacentral:rRNA from 1 species